rnacentral:lncRNA from 1 species
UCUUCUGUCCACAACCACUCUCCACAACCAACCAACGGCCCCACGACCGCCGCCCUGCCGGCCCUCAUUUUUCUUCCAUCUUUCUUCUCUUCACAACCAACAUCUCUUUCACUCAUCACCACCGCUCCUUCCCCCGCCCAUCAAGACGAUUAGGAUUAAUGGUAAUUUGCAGAUUCAGAUCCAAGCCAAGGACGGUUGUUAACGAAGGAGGAAGAGACAUUAUUUGCCGGUGGUAAAUGUUGGAAAUUGUAGAUCAAUUUGAAAUAGGAAUUUGGUUUUUUUUUUUUUUACUUUGGUCGAUUCUUCACACACACGCACAACCCUAAAAGAUAGUGAACCAACCUUACGAGACCAACCAGAGGAAGCUUAGCCACAGACCUCUUCAGUAAAGAAAUUACAAAGUUUAAUCAACAAAAAGACAGAACAAAUGUGAGUCAAGUUUCAUAGUGUAAUAAUGGGAACACUAACAGAUUAUACAAACAAAGUCAUGGGACUUUUGUUAAUUGACAAGUUUAUGAUGG